rnacentral:rRNA from 1 species
AUUGAACGCUGGCGGCAGGCCUAACACAUGCAAGUCGAACGAGUGGCGGACGGGUGAGUAAUGUCUGGGAAACUGCCCGAUGGAGGGGGAUAACUACUGGAAACGGUAGCUAAUACCGCAUACCAGCGGAUGUGCCCAGAUGGGAUUAGCUAGUAGGUGGGGUAACGGUUCACCUAGGAGACGAUCCCUAGCUGGUCUGAGAGGAUGACCAGCUACAAUGGAACGGAGACAGUGGUCAGACUCCUACGGGAGGGAGCAGGGGUGAAUAUUGCACAAUGGGCGAAAGCCGGAUGCAGCCAGGCCGGGUGUAUUAAGAAGGCCUUCGGGUUGUAAAGUACUUUCAGCGAGGAGGCGUUACUCGCAGAAGAAGCACCGGCUAACUCCGUGCCAGCAGCCGCGGUAAUAC